UGGGGAAUUUUGGACAAUGGGCGAAAGCCUGAUCCAGCAAUGCCGCGUGUGUGAAGAAGGCCUUCGGGUUGUAAAGCACUUUUGUCCGGAAAGAAAUCCUUGGCUCUAAUACAGUCGGGGGAUGACGGUACCGGAAGAAUAAGCACCGGCUAACUACGUGCCAGCAGCCGCGGUAAUACGUAGGGUGCAAGCGUUAAUCGGAAUUACUGGGCGUAAAGCGUGCGCAGGCGGUUUGCUAAGACCGAUGUGAAAUCCCCGGGCUCAACCUGGGAACUGCAUUGGUGACUGGCAGGCUAGAGUAUGGCAGAGGGGGGUAGAAUUCCACGUGUAGCAGUGAAAUGCGUAGAGAUGUGGAGGAAUACCGAUGGCGAAAGGCAGCCCCCUGGGCCAAAUACUGACGCUCAUGCACGAAAAGCGU
rnacentral:rRNA from 1 species